rnacentral:lncRNA from 1 species
UUCUACUUUUCCUUUAAGGAGUCCACUUUAUUUUGAAACAUCCGUGCUCUUAUUGUGACGACGCCAACCGGACGUGGUGAGCUCCUUCACGGCAGCUUGACGCACGCGCAUUGAGUCGAGGAAGCGAAGUGAUCCGCGCGGUUCCGAGGCUGCGGUUCGACACCAGGCUCGACCCGGUGUCUCUACACGGAGCUCGACCUUUAUCCGAGGAUGGAAGAGCACCCGAAGAAGUCUCUCACAGCCUGACAAGUCGGCGGGACGCAGAAAACGCCAAGAAGUGCGGGGACAUAAUGUGUUAGCGCCCGUUAGGAGCGGGGCUGGUUACGGAUGGUACGGUGUGUCCGGGCAGGUAAACGUUAGCUUGACUAGCCGCUCAGCUAGUAGCAGCAGGAGGCUAGGAGGCUAACAGCCGCUGACCAACUAACUAGUUGGGCUGGAUGAACUGUGGCCAGAGUCGGUACCGAACCCACCGAGCAUGGGUCGUUUGUGUCCCACAAACCAUCCUCUGUCCCUGUGAACUGUCACUAUCCGCCCUUUUCAUUGUCUUCAAGGAGAAACUAGCGGCAGAGGUGCUCCAGCGCUGAUUGACAGCUCGUCACACCGGGGUUCCCAGAUGUGGAGGCGGCGUGAGAGGCGCAGCUAGGCUCCGGGGCAGCUAGCUGCAGGACGGGCUGCUCACCAGGAAUGGAUGACACCAACAAACUUUUCUGCGGACUCUCAACUCAGCACAGGGCUUCAACAAAGCGAUGAGUUUCAUUUUGCCAGUGAGGUGUCACUGUAGUCCACAGCAGACGAGCUGACACGUCGAGUUUGCCCAGUGUUUGUCUAGAGGUCUGAGCCCCGACAGAACCAGCUCCCUCCGGGGUCAGCCCCGCAAACGAGGAGCCUUUUUACACUUACACGAACUAUGAAGAGGACAGAAAACAAAAACAAGAGGAAACUCAACAUGGAACAGCAGGACAGCGUCGGAGAGGACAAAGAUGCGAAGGAGUUUGCAGCCCCCCCUCCUCUCCUCUUCAGGAAGCUGAGUAAUCCCGACCUAUCACCUGCAGCAGCGACCGCCACAAAAUCCAAACUUCACAGACAGCUCAGCCAGGAUGAGAGCCGGGCUCGACGCAGCAGCAUGGCUAUGACUGGUAAGCAGCUGCUGCCUCUGUCUAGCAGUCUGCACACAGGGGUGAGUCAGCUAGCCUGGCAAGGGGCCUCUGGAGAGGUGAACAACCUGGUCCGCAUGAGGAGCCAGGCUCUGGGACAGUCUGCUCCAUCACUCACUGGACUGAAGGAGUUGAGCCUUCCCAGAAGAGGCAGCUUCUGUCGGACGAGCAACAGGAAAAGCCUGAUAGUGACAUCUAGCACCUCCCCCACUCUGCCACGACCACACUCUCCUCUGCACGGGCACACAGGUACCAGUCCCCUCGACAGCCCUCGCAACUUCUCCCCGAACACAGCUGCACACUUCUCCUUUGUUCCUGCUCGCAGGACGGAUGGCAGACGCUGGUCUCUGGCCUCCCUGCCUUCCUCUGGCUAUGGUACCAACACUCCCAGCUCCACUGUCUCGUCCUCCUGUUCAUCUCAGGAGAAACUGCACCAGCUGCCCUUCCAGCCCACGCCGGACGAGCUGCACUUCCUCACCAAACACUUCAGCUCAGAGAGCAUCACAGACGAGGAGGGACGCCGCUCCCCCGCCAUGAGACCGCGCUCCCGCAGCCUCAGCCCGGGACGCUCCCCCAUCUCCUUUGACCAUGAGAUUGUUAUGAUGAACCAUGUGUACAAGGAGAGGUUCCCUAAGGCGACGGCUCAAAUGGAGGAGCGACUGGCUGAGCUGCUCUCCUCCUCGGCCCCAGAGAAAGUCUGCCCACUGGCCGACGGGGUCCUGAGCUUCAUCCACCAUCAGCUGAUAGAGCUGUCAAGAGACUGCCUGGAGAAAAGCAGAGAGGGCCUCAUCACUUCUCGCUACUUCUACGAGCUCCAGGAGAAUCUGGAGAAGCUGCUGCAAGAUGCUCACGAGCGCUCAGAGAGUGUGGAGGUUACCUUUGUCACACAACUUGUAAAGAAACUGAUGAUCAUCAUUGCCCGGCCUGCACGCCUGCUGGAGUGUCUGGAGUUUGAUCCUGAGGAAUUUUACCACUUGUUGGAAGCAGCAGAGGGCCAUGCCAAGGAGGGCCAGGGCAUCAAGUCCGACAUCCCCAGAUACAUCAUCAGCCAGCUGGGCCUUACCAGGGACCCCCUGGAGGAGACCCGGCAGCGUUUCGCCAUGAAGAAGAUCAACAAACAGAACCUGAUUCUGAGAAACCAGAUCCAGCAGGCCUUUGUGGAACGAGACAUCCUGACGUUUGCUGAGAACCCGUUUGUCGUCUCUAUGUUCUGUUCUUUUGAGACUAGGAGGCACCUCUGCAUGGUGAUGGAGUAUGUAGAGGGUGGAGACUGUGCCACGCUGCUGAAGAAUAUUGGAGCCCUGCCGGUCGAUAUGGCUCGUAUGUACUUUGCAGAGACCGUCCUCGCAUUAGAGUAUCUUCAUAAUUAUGGCAUCGUCCACAGAGACCUUAAACCAGACAAUCUUCUCAUCACUUCGAUGGGACACAUUAAGCUGACAGACUUUGGUCUGUCUAAGAUUGGUUUGAUGAGUUUGACGACAAACCUGUAUGAAGGACACAUUGAGAAAGACACCAGAGAAUUCCUGGAUAAGCAGGUGUGUGGCACCCCAGAGUACAUCGCCCCAGAGGUGAUUCUACGUCAAGGCUACGGGAAACCGGUGGACUGGUGGGCGAUGGGAGUCAUCCUGUACGAGUUCCUGGUGGGCUGCGCUCCCUUCUUCGGAGACACACCAGAGGAACUGUUUGGGCAGGUCAUCAGUGAUGAGAUUAUGUGGCCUGAGGAGGAUGAAGCUCUGCCUCAGGAGGCUCAGGAUCUCAUCUCCAAACUGCUAAGACAAAACCCCCUGGAGCGACUGGGCACAGGAAGUGCCUAUGAGGUGAAGCAGCACCCAUUCUUCACAGAGCUGGACUGGAACAGCCUGCUGAGACAGAAAGCAGAAUUCAUCCCCCAGCUGGAGUCUGAGGACGACACCAGCUACUUUGACACUCGGUCUGAUCGGUACCACCACGUCGAUUCAGAGGAAGAAGACGACACCAACGAUGAUGAACACGUGGAGAUUCGGCAGUUCUCCUCCUGCUCACCUCGCUUCAGCAAGGUGUACAGUAGUAUGGAGCGUCUAUCCCUGCACGAGGAGAAGAGGACUCCUCCUCCCACCAAACGCAGCCUCAGUGAGGAAGGAGGAGAUCGCAUUGACAGCCUGAGUGGACUCAAGUCCAGAGAUCGAUCCUGGCUGGUGGGCUCUCCAGAGAUACUGCGGAAGCGUCUGUCAGUCUCUGAGUCGUCCCACACAGAGAGUGACUCCAGCCCACCUCUGACAGUCCGGAGACGCUGCUGCUCUGCUAUCAUUGAGAUGCCACGCUUUGCCAUCUCCUCUGAAGAGGAAGGAGGCCAUGGUAAAAAUUUAAGUCCAAGCCUGUUAGGUCCGAGUGCAGUGAGAGGUCCCCGGGGCGAAGAGCUCCCCCUCGCCAUCCCAGAGAUCCCAGUGGAGAGAGAGCUGAAGCUGGACGAGUCUCCCACCACCCCAAGCUCCACCUGUAGCCAGCUAAGCAGGGCCACGCUCACACCCGGCAGCUCAGGCGACGUGUCUGACCGCGCUAAUGGUGCCGACAGUGACUCUCCAUCGACUCCAAAGGCCAUCAGUGACCUGGCUGCUCGCAGGGCUCGCCAUCGGCUGCUGUCAGGAGACACGGACAAGCAUACCACAACGCCGAGCUCCAGACCGCUGAACAAGGUCAUCAAGUCAGCGUCCGCCACCACCCUGUCUCUGAUGAUCCCCUCAGACCACCAUGGAGCCUCCCCACUAGCCAGCCCAAUGUCACCCCACUCGUUAUCUUCCAACCCAUCAUCACGAGACUCUUCUCCAAGCCGAGACCUGUCCCCUGCCGUGAGCAGCAUCAAACCUGCCAUCAUCAUCCACAGAGCGGGAAAGAAGUACGGAUUCACAUUAAGAGCCAUCCGCGUCUAUAUGGGAGACUCUGACAUCUACACGGUGCACCACAUGGUCUGGCAUGUGGAGGGGGGCGGUCCAGCCCAUGAAGCCGGGCUGAGGGAGGGCGAUCUGAUCACUCAUGUCAACGGAGAGCCGGUCCACGGUCUGGUUCACACUGAGGUGGUGGAGCUCAUACUGAAGAGCGGUGCCAAAGUGUCCAUCUCUGCCACCCCGUUUGAGAACACGUCCAUCAAAGUCGGCCCUGCCCGAAAAACAAGCCACAAAUCCAAGAUGGCGCGACGCAACAAGAAGACCAAGAACAAGGAGGGACAAGACAGUAAGAAGAGGACGUCUCUGUUCAGGAAGAUCACCAAGCAGGCGUCUCUCCUCCACACCAGCCGCAGUCUUUCUUCUCUAAACCGCUCUUUGUCCUCUGGGGAGAGUGGACCCGGCUCACCAACACACAAUCUGUCACCACGGAGCCCAACACAGGGCUACAGGUCCAUACCUGACUCUGCCCACUCAGUUGGUGGAAACUCAUCUCAGAGCAGCUCCCCCAGCUCUAGCGUCCCAAACUCCCCGGCAAGUUCUGGCCACAUCCGCCCCAGCUCCCUGCACGGUCUCGCCCCGAAGCUCCAGCGUCAGUACCGCUCUCCACGACGCAAGUCUGCUGGCAACAUCCCCCUCUCCCCUCUGGCCCGCACACCUUCACCCACACCUCAGAGCAGCUCACCUCAGCGCUCACCCUCCCCGCUGCCUAGCCACAGUCUGGGACAGGCUGCUGUGGGCCAGUCAUUCCCUGUGAAGCUCCACUCCUCCCCUCCCCUGGUGAGGCAGAUAUCCAGACCUAAAAGUGCAGAGCCUCCUCGUUCACCACUUCUCAAGAGGGUGCAGUCUGCUGAGAAACUGGCUAAGCUGCCAGUGGGAGCAGCUGUGGGGAGUCGUAAACACAGCCUGGACAUCUCACAUUCAGAGUUUAAGAAGGAGAUUCUGCAGAGGGAGCCGAGCCUGCAGAGGGACGGUGCCCUCGGCGCUGUAUCUGGCUCACUGGGCCUUGGCCCCGGGAAGAGUAAGCUGAAGGACAAACUGUCCGCCAUUCGACAGGACAGAGCAGAACGCAGGGAAUCGCUUCAAAAGCAAGAUGCCAUCCACGAGGUUGAUUCAUCUGAGGACGAGACAGAUGAGGGCUCAGAGGACAGCCAGGAUGGACGCAGGGGGACGACUUUUACCCCUCCCCCCCUCCUGAGGCCCACCACUGUGAGAACAGGCCCUGGGGGCACUCUGCCGUCCCUCUGCCUCUCCCCAUCCACUCCCCACGCCACAUUCACGCACACUGGGCCCUCACAGAUCGGCAGACCCACUCCCUCACACACCCUCCCCUCCGUUUCCGAAACAAAGUCUGCACAGAGCUUGUCAUCGGUGGGAGUAAAGGAGGGGAGCUCCAGCUCCUCAACAGAAGAGGGUGCAAGACAAGAGAGGAGGGUUCUGGAGCCAAGCGGUACCACCAAACCCACUCAGGGUCCCCUUCCCUUCUCCACUCCAGGCAGUGCAUUCAUCUCCGUCAGCAAGGACAUGUUCCUCAAGCCAACUCCUCCACAAGACUCAAAGGGCCUCAGAGGGAAGACGGGACCAUCAGAGCUCAGAGCAGAGGAUCAAACCCUGGAUAGCCCUAGAACCACUGCUCCAUCAACGACGAGCAAUACAAGUACUCCUGACUGCAGAACUACAACUAAGUCCCCAGACUCCCACACCGCCACAAGCACUACAGACAGCCAAGAGACUCCCCGCACGUCCUGCUCCUCUCCAGGCAUCCCCAAAGAGAAGAAGGAGGCCGACAACCGGAGACUAUGUGCCGCCGCUGCAGCUGCAAGUCUGAGUGCGUCUUCUUCGCCCAAUUCUAGCUCCAACUCAAGCUCCAGCUCCCCGGUUCCACCCUCUGAGAGUGGGGUAGACAGAGUUGUGUCCCAGCUUGCUACAGUAGCUAAAUCCGUUCUUGGUCCUGUUAAACUCAGCAGUGUUUCUGACAGAAAGGACCCGAAGCCAUCCAGAGGAGCAACCCCAGAAGUGCCCCAUACUGACCCCCUUUCAUUCCACUCCAAACAGGUCCCAGCUCCACAUCUAUCUCCGACCAGGCAGAGAACUGAGCGAGUUGCCUCUCCAGCAACCUCCCAGAGGUCAGCCAGAUCUUCAGCCCAGAAAGACUGUGCAGCCCCAGCACCGCCAUCCUGCAAGGACGUCCCAGGGUCUGUGGAUAGAGAGAAUGCUGCCACCUCUGCAUCUGUACAGCAGCUGGGUGCCGCUGCAGCUCAGGCCGCCCUCAAUGCAAGCCUCCCCGUCUCUGCAGCAUCUGAGCCACAGCGCAAGCGGUCCGAGCCCCAGACAGCAACUGUCACCAACGUCAUGUCCGCCUCCUCGCAACAAGACAAAGCAACCAGCAAGAAGACGUAG